GCGGUCGUGGUGGAAUUGGCAGUCACGCCAGGUUUAGGUCCUGGUGGGAGAAAUCCCGUGAGGGUUCGAGUCCCUCCGACCGCA
rnacentral:tRNA from 1 species